rnacentral:rRNA from 1 species
CCUACGGGAGGCUGCAGUGGGGAAUAUUGGACAAUGGGGGGAACCCUGAUCCAGCCAUGCCGCGUGUGUGAAGAAGGCCCUCGGGGUGUAAAGCACUUUCAGUGAGGAAGAACGCCUGGUGGUUAAUACCCAUCAGGAAAGACAUCACUCACAGAAGAAGCACCGGCUAACUCCGUGCCAGCAGCCGCGGUAAUACGGAGGGUGCGAGCGUUAAUCGGAAUUACUGGGCGUAAAGCGCGCGUAGGUGGCUUGAUAAGCCGGUUGUGAAAGCCCCGGGCUCAACCUGGGAACGGCAUCCGGAACUGUCAAGCUAGAGUGCAGGAGAGGAAGGUAGAAUUCCCGGUGUAGCGGUGAAAUGCGUAGAGAUCGGGAGGAAUACCAGUGGCGAAGGCGGCCUUCUGGACUGACACUGACACUGAGGUGCGAAAGCGUGGGUAGCAAACAGGAUUAGAUACCCGUGUAGUC